rnacentral:rRNA from 1 species
GGGUUGUGAGGUUAAGCGACUAAGCGUACACGGUGGAUGCCCUGGCAGUCAGAGGCGAUGAAGGACGUGCUAAUCUGCGAUAAGCGUCGGUAAGGUGAUAUGAACCGUUAUAACCGGCGAUUUCCGAAUGGGGAAACCCAGUGUGUUUCGACACACUAUCAUUAACUGAAUCCAUAGGUUAAUGAGGCGAACCGGGGGAACUGAAACAUCUAAGUACCCCGAGGAAAAGAAAUCAACCGAGAUUCCCCCAGUAGCGGCGAGCGAACGGGGAGCAGCCCAGAGCCUGAAUCAGUGUGUGUGUUAGUGGAAGCGUCUGGAAAGGCGCGCGAUACAGGGUGACAGCCCCGUACACAAAAAUGCACAUGCUGUGAGCUCGAUGAGUAGGGCGGGACACGUGGUAUCCUGUCUGAAUAUGGGGGGACCAUCCUCCAAGGCUAAAUACUCCUGACUGACCGAUAGUGAACCAGUACCGUGAGGGAAAGGCGAAAAGAACCCCGGCGAGGGGAGUGAAAAAGAACCUGAAACCGUGUACGUACAAGCAGUGGGAGCACGCUUAGGCGUGUGACUGCGUACCUUUUGUAUAAUGGGUCAGCGACUUAUAUUCUGUAGCAAGGUUAACCGAAUAGGGGAGCCGAAGGGAAACCGAGUCUUAACUGGGCGUUAAGUUGCAGGGUAUAGACCCGAAACCCGGUGAUCUAGCCAUGGGCAGGUUGAAGGUUGGGUAACACUAACUGGAGGACCGAACCGACUAAUGUUGAAAAAUUAGCGGAUGACUUGUGGCUGGGGGUGAAAGGCCAAUCAAACCGGGAGAUAGCUGGUUCUCCCCGAAAGCUAUUUAGGUAGCGCCUCGUGAAUUCAUCUCCGGGGGUAGAGCACUGUUUCGGCAAGGGGGUCAUCCCGACUUACCAACCCGAUGCAAACUGCGAAUACCGGAGAAUGUUAUCACGGGAGACACACGGCGGGUGCUAACGUCCGUCGUGAAGAGGGAAACAACCCAGACCGCCAGCUAAGGUCCCAAAGUCAUGGUUAAGUGGGAAACGAUGUGGGAAGGCCCAGACAGCCAGGAUGUUGGCUUAGAAGCAGCCAUCAUUUAAAGAAAGCGUAAUAGCUCACUGGUCGAGUCGGCCUGCGCGUAAGAUGUAACGGGGCUAAACCAUGCACCGAAGCUGCGGCAGCGACGCUUAUGCGUUGUUGGGUAGGGGAGCGUUCUGUAAGCCUGCGAAGGUGUGCUGUGAGGCAUGCUGGAGGUAUCAGAAGUGCGAAUGCUGACAUAAGUAACGAUAAAGCGGGUGAAAAGCCCGCUCGCCGGAAGACCAAGGGUUCCUGUCCAACGUUAAUCGGGGCAGGGUGAGUCGACCCCUAAGGCGAGGCCGAAAGGCGUAGUCGAUGGGAAACAGGUUAAUAUUCCUGUACUUGGUGUUACUGCGAAGGGGGGACGGAGAAGGCUAUGUUGGCCGGGCGACGGUUGUCCCGGUUUAAGCGUGUAGGCUGGUUUUCCAGGCAAAUCCGGAAAAUCAAGGCUGAGGCGUGAUGACGAGGCACUACGGUGCUGAAGCAACAAAUGCCCUGCUUCCAGGAAAAGCCUCUAAGCAUCAGGUAACAUCAAAUCGUACCCCAAACCGACACAGGUGGUCAGGUAGAGAAUACCAAGGCGCUUGAGAGAACUCGGGUGAAGGAACUAGGCAAAAUGGUGCCGUAACUUCGGGAGAAGGCACGCUGAUAUGUAGGUGAAGUCCCUCGCGGAUGGAGCUGAAAUCAGUCGAAGAUACCAGCUGGCUGCAACUGUUUAUUAAAAACACAGCACUGUGCAAACACGAAAGUGGACGUAUACGGUGUGACGCCUGCCCGGUGCCGGAAGGUUAAUUGAUGGGGUUAGCGCAAGCGAAGCUCUUGAUCGAAGCCCCGGUAAACGGCGGCCGUAACUAUAACGGUCCUAAGGUAGCGAAAUUCCUUGUCGGGUAAGUUCCGACCUGCACGAAUGGCGUAAUGAUGGCCAGGCUGUCUCCACCCGAGACUCAGUGAAAUUGAACUCGCUGUGAAGAUGCAGUGUACCCGCGGCAAGACGGAAAGACCCCGUGAACCUUUACUAUAGCUUGACACUGAACAUUGAGCCUUGAUGUGUAGGAUAGGUGGGAGGCUUUGAAGUGUGGACGCCAGUCUGCAUGGAGCCGACCUUGAAAUACCACCCUUUAAUGUUUGAUGUUCUAACGUGGACCCGUAAUCCGGGUUGCGGACAGUGUCUGGUGGGUAGUUUGACUGGGGCGGUCUCCUCCUAAAGAGUAACGGAGGAGCACGAAGGUUGGCUAAUCCUGGUCGGACAUCAGGAGGUUAGUGCAAUGGCAUAAGCCAGCUUGACUGCGAGCGUGACGGCGCGAGCAGGUGCGAAAGCAGGUCAUAGUGAUCCGGUGGUUCUGAAUGGAAGGGCCAUCGCUCAACGGAUAAAAGGUACUCCGGGGAUAACAGGCUGAUACCGCCCAAGAGUUCAUAUCGACGGCGGUGUUUGGCACCUCGAUGUCGGCUCAUCACAUCCUGGGGCUGAAGUAGGUCCCAAGGGUAUGGCUGUUCGCCAUUUAAAGUGGUACGCGAGCUGGGUUUAGAACGUCGUGAGACAGUUCGGUCCCUAUCUGCCGUGGGCGCUGGAGAAUUGAGGGGGGCUGCUCCUAGUACGAGAGGACCGGAGUGGACGCAUCACUGGUGUUCGGGUUGUCAUGCCAAUGGCACUGCCCGGUAGCUAAAUGCGGAAGAGAUAAGUGCUGAAAGCAUCUAAGCACGAAACUUGCCCCGAGAUGAGUUCUCCCUGACUCCUUGAGAGUCCUGAAGGAACGUUGAAGACGACGACGUUGAUAGGCCGGGUGUGUAAGCGCAGCGAUGCGUUGAGCUAACCGGUACUAAUGAACCGUGAGGCUUAACCUUACAACGCCGAAG